rnacentral:rRNA from 1 species
UACGUAGGUGGCAAGCGUUGUCCGGAAUUAUUGGGCGUAAAGCGCGCGCAGGCGGUCCUUUAAGUCUGAUGUGAAAGCCCACGGCUCAACCGUGGAGGGUCAUUGGAAACUGGGGGACUUGAGUACAGAAGAGAAGAGUGGAAUUCCACGUGUAGCGGUGAAAUGCGUAGAGAUGUGGAGGAACACCAGUGGCGAAGGCGGCAUCCUGGACCGGCAUUGACGCUGAGGAGCGAAAGCCAGGGGAGCAAACGGG